AUGUCCAUGUGCUGGCGGUGGAGGAGGCGGAGGACGGCUCAACUCGAGGUGGCUCAUCCUUGCGUCAGGGUCGUCGACGGGGAUCAAUUGACCACCGGCAUGCAGCGGCUCAGGUCCGGACUGCUGCGCAGCCAUGGGGCCAUGGCCAGGCGGAUCCACAACGCCUGGGUCAACGAGAGCGUCGUCCUAGACAUCUACUCCUUCAACACGCUGAUCCGGGGCUGCGGGCAGGUGAUCUGGAGCGUGCACGGAAGGUGUUCGAUGGUCCAUUCUUUGGGCAGUUAUAAAGAAAAGUGUGGAUUAUGCUAUUCUCUGUUCCGAUUCUUGCACCUGUUGGUUUUUUACUUUCAGAGCUCUGGAAAAUAUGAGAUGAACUUACCUAACAUGCAGAAACCUGGAUGCAGGAAGGGCUCUGCGGUAGAUCGAUCAAGGGAUUGGAGCAGCGAAAAAGAAAAUGAAGGAACAGAUGGAUGA
rnacentral:rRNA from 1 species